GUGGCCUUGUGGUUAGGGCGUCCGCCUCUGAUGCCGGAGGUUGCGCGUUCGAACCCCGGUCGCCUCA